AGAGUUUGAUCCUGGCUCAGGACGAACGCUGGCGGCGUGCUUAACACAUGCAAGUCGAACGGAGAUAGUAGUAAUAUUAUCUUAGUGGCGGACGGGUGAGUAACGCGUGGGCAACUUACCUCGGACUGGGGGAUAACACAGGGAAACUUGUGCUAAUACCGCAUAACAUCGCGAGAGGACAUCCUCUUGCGAUCAAAGGA
rnacentral:rRNA from 1 species